UACGUAGGGUGCGAGCGUUAAUCGGAAUAACUGGGCGUAAAGGGUGUGUAGGCGGAAAUGUAAGUUAGAUGUGAAAAGCCUGAGCUUAACUUAGGUAGUGCAUUUAAGACUGCAUAUCUAGAGUCAGUGAGAGGGAGGUAGAAUUCCAAGUGUAGCAGUGAAAUGCGUAGAGAUUUGGAGGAAUACCGAUGGCGUAGGCAGCCUCCUGGCAUAAGACUGACGCUGAGACACGAAAGCGUGGGAAGCAAACAGG
rnacentral:rRNA from 1 species